GUGUGUGUGUGUGUGUGUGUGUGUGUGUGUGUGUCAGCUCACAGUCCAGUCCAAAGUGCUGCGGAUGAGAGCCUCUGGGUCGGUUCUGUUCAGGGACGACGUGCUGGGCUGGCAGGGCAGGGUGUGCAGGCCCGACUUAGCUAUGGCUUUCCUGGAAACACAAAGAGACGCACAACUGUGAAUGCUCCUAGGUCUUCAUGGAAAUGUGUCCUGCGCUCGUUCAUCACUCCCUUCCUCUCGAUCGGACUCCGAACAGGAAGAGGUGUCUACUCCCUCUUCAUCUUCCUUCUCUUCUCUACCCAUCUGGACUACACUCGCAAGUAACAUGGAGGAUCCAAGUAAAUGAGAUUCAAUAGAUUUUAUUCUAGAAGGACGUCGAUAUCGCAGUGCCAUCCCACGUUCUAUGCCACCAUGAGCAUGGUGAGGUUUAUACUGAAACCCCCGCCUUCCUCUCAUGAUGACUCCAUCUGCCCUCUCGGUUCCUCUCUCAGAUCCUCCCUCUGCUUCACUUGUGUUUGUUUUACCUACCUCUAUAAUGGACUGCCGCCUCUGUCCACUAGCCACCAAUAAACCCACACUGGGGCGCCGGCGCUGCUCAGCACAGACCGGAGGUAGGCCCACCGAGGAGCGUCUGGACUGAACCAGCGCCGCAGAGGGCAGACCCACACUAGAGCGCCUCCUGGCUUUACUGGUCUGAAGAGCAACGCCAUGCUUCGGUUUCUUCUGACGGUAACGGAAGAAGAAAUCCAUCAUGUCUGCAGAUAUGGAAGGUGCUAAAAAUGAUACCUGGCAUCUAAAAAUCUGUACUCAGUUAAAGGACAUAGCAUCGCCUUUCCCCUUCCCUCUUCUGAUGAUGCUUUAAGAUCCCAACAACAGAAGACUGUAUCCAUGAUAGUUGAUGAGCUCUUGUCUUUUGUUCCAGUCCUCCUUUAGAAAUGCUGAAGGGACAAACAGGCCUUUCUGUUUAAAAGAUGUUCCCUAAAUGGCAUUGUCAAUUUAUUCAACAAACUUUACUGAUACAAGCCCUUUCUUACAAAGGAUGAUGAUGAAAUAGCUGAAAGGUAAACGUACUAAGAGCCUACAAAGACUGUUAGAGCAUUUGUCACAUGCCCAAUAGAUUAUCUAUAGAGGGCAUGUGACCAUUCAUGAACAUGUCUAUAAACACUUAGCACAUUUUAGUUGAACCAUUAAAGUGUUUCCAUUACAAAA